AACCCCCCAAAAUUCCCCGCAAACCCUCCUUUCCCCGUCCGCGACACGAGACGCGAGGGAGCGACCAUUCUCUCUUCUCCGACGGCGACGGUGCCUGCCUCCUCCUCACUCCGCCCACCGCCCCCGCCCCAGCAGCCGCGCCGUCCGCCGCUGGUUCUUCCUCGCCGCCUGGACCUGUUCGUCGAAGCCGUACCAGCCGAGCCGGUCACUCCUCCUCCGACCCCGACGCCGGCUCAUCCCCUGCCGCCGCCGUCGACGCCGCCUCAUCCCCUGCCGCCGCCGUAGACGCCGCCUCAGCUCCUGGUGUCUCUGACCCACAGGCCCUCCCGGCAACCUGCCCUUAUUUACGUUUCUUGUCAGAAAGACAGCGGGUAAAAAUCCAUGAUAUACGUUGUGAUGGCACCAAAUCCAUCAGGUCAGUCCCAAGAAAAGAAGAAAACAAAAGAGAAACAGCCUAUGAAGAUACACUAUGACCUGUUAAACCUAAGGAUGAACCAGGCUGAACAGAAAGUGACUUGUGAGCUUAUGAUGCCAGCAAAGUUACCAGAUUUCUACAACCCUCCCCUUGGUGCUGAUCCGGUUGUCCUCCAUGUGAAACAUCCAACCCAAGACAAGCAUUCUGUUACUUUAAUGAGGGAUUGCUUACAUAAGAACCUUCUGCAUGCAAAACUUGUCAGUGACAAAGAUCCAUAUCUGCUAGUCUUUACUGACCGAUACACAGGAAUGUUAACAGCAUACUUCAAGUCCAUCGAACCAUUUGUAGCUAAGUAUGCCGAACCGGGCCGGAUACCAUUCCCGUCCGCUAAGCUUCAAAGUGUUGUGAGUCAAAUGCUUGAUGGUUUGAAGGGACUGUGGUUCUAUGACAAGUACCAUGGAAACUUGAGAUUGGACAACACAUACUACUAUAAGACAAAAGAUGGUGAUGUCGUUGUGAAGUUGGCAAGUUUUAAAUGUCAAGGUACUAAACUUAAAGACCCUGCAAAAAAGGGAAAAGAUAAAACAGAGACUGUUGCACAUUACCAGGCGGAAGAUUUACAAGCAAUGGGCACUGCGCUGGAAGAAAUAUCUCAAAUGGCUAGUGAUUUGAGUGAGAAAGGCUAUCUGUUGGAUUGCAGACAGAUUGACCACCUUGCCGAAAGACUAAAAGAAGUGUCCAAGGGAGAGAUGGGAAGUGCAUAGAUGAACCCGGGUACAUAUGAACUCACUUUAAAAAACACAUUUCUAAAUGCCAAAAAAAUCUAAAAAAGUUUGCACGGAUACAUCUUCAUGUUCUAUGUGCGUGCAUAAAGUUUUACGAAAAAAUAACUUUUUUUGAGCCCUGUGCAAAAAAGACAAAAAAUUGUGUCGUGAAACGCUAUUUAGAAGCACUGAAAUUUGUCUUUUUAUGAAGGCAAACCAGAAAGACAUUUUUUCACAAAACUUUAUGCCGUGUGCACACACAUUUGCGAACAUGUAUGCAUACAAUUUUCUGUUAUUUUUUUAACAUUUCAAAACAUGCUUAAAAUGCAGUUUUUUAAAAGUGGGUGCAGAUGCCCAUGCGUUCAGAUAGUGCCCACUCGGGGAGAGAUGCAUUAUAUCAUGGAUGAGAUUAGAACUUGUCCCUUUUUUUGGACUCGAGUUGAGCGAAAAGAUUUUUUUUGUUUCUGAAGUCCCCUUGGCUAUGCUCAGCCACUCCAACAGAGCAAAAAUUGAUGCAGAACAGGACGUGUGUACUUUGCCUUGGAACAAUGAUGACUACGAUGGUUUCCUUGACCUGAUGAUUAAGUACCAAGAGAGGAAUAACCUCGGUGCAUAUGAUUUUAACAGCAGGGUCUGUUAUGUGCAGUUUAUUAGUGGUAUUUAUACUCAUGAGGUGGAGUUGAAGGUACUAAUUGUAUCCGUUUAUUCGAUGUUUGCAAUAUGCAACAAGGGCAGAUCUGACAUUUAUUAUUACAGAAUCCAACUGCUUCAGUGGAUGCGACUGUCAUUUCAAGGAAUCAUGGUGUUUUUCUGGUACUAUACUCUUUACUGCCACGACCUCCAAGACCCGUUAACCAGGGGUGAUGUUAAGAUGGUAAAGCAUGCAAGACCAGAGAUGCCAGUGACAGUUAGCAGUUCGAGGACCGUGGCUGCCGUAACAAGGCUUAAAGUAACUGCAGUAUGAUGAGUCGUUUUGCUAGUUUCGACUCCUCCAGGACUUACUGAUGAGUGAUGGCUCUAUUGAUUCCUCCAGGACAGCUUCUUCUGCUAGUUUAUGUGAAUCUAAAGAUUACAUGUUGCCACAGAAUCAUUGGUGAAAUUGUUACCAUCUGUAGGUGUUGUUAUGUGGCACCGUUGAGACGUGUUGUUGUUCAUGGUCAUCUAUUUUGAGAUGCUGGCAUGGUGGUAAAUACCAGACUUUUGAUGUACCAGUGCACGACAUUGCAUUGGUUUGCCUUGGCAUACUGCCAGUAAA